GUUAAGCGCUAGAGGCUGGGGAAGGGUUGACUCCAGCAGCAGAAUUCACUUGUCUACUUCGCGCCUGUGCCUGUUGGAAUUGUGAUCCUUUUCGGCCACUGCGUGUGCGCCACUGUCCUAGCACGCAGUUUGGAAGUGGUAGAGGAAGCAGGGGGUUGCGAAUUGCAUCCAUAUGGACAGAUUUCAAAAUGCAAACAUUGAUUUGUCUGCAAGUGCUCUUUGAACCUGUCCGAUGGCUCUAAGGAUGUAUGCUUUCUUCCCGCUGCCCACGCUUGCAGUGUGAAGUGACGACUCUCCUUAGAAGAUCUGCACAGUGAUGGCACUUACUUCAGUUACGAGUUGCUCAGCGGACUGUGGAGUGACUGAACUAUACCCAUUCCCGUCAUGAUGCACACCCCUGAGGUUCCUCACCACACCUGUGUUCUGAUUAGAGGCAAAAUAAAUGACAUUCAAAACUUCCACUAAGGUACUAUAAGCUUUUGUGGUGAGAUGGCAUCUGGUUUCUUUCUACAAGGAAAGUUUAGCACACAGCACAGUCCUUGAAACAUUGGAUUGGUUUGAUGAGCCUACCUGGAAUAGGUAUGUAAAACCUCCAGCAUAUGCUUCAUCUCUUUGAGUCAUAUCUGUGGAUGUGUAUCCACUUCUGCUUUUCUUGUUGUUAACUUAGAGUGGAGUUUGUUCUGAAGAGUAAAAUUCAUGUGUCGAAGGUGACUAUGUGUUUACAGUAUGAUCUACAAGACUCCUUCAUUUUCUUUGUAAUGUGAUAAAUACAUAUUAAGAGCAUUCAUUCCAGGAGAGAAGGGAAAUCCCAUGCUCGUAUGGUUCUGAAAAUAAUAAGAUUUAAUCUACAACUCUGUGAAACUCAAGUGUGUAAAAUAUGAUGAUUCCCUGGCGUGUUUAUAAGAACGGCAUCUGUGGCUCAAAAGUCUAACAGGAAGAUAGAAACUUCUUUUUUUUUUUUUCCAAAAUUAAUCCAGGCUUAGGAAAAACUGAGUACCAAAUUAUGAAAUGACUGCACAUGGGAAUUAAUUAAUGAUUCUUUGAUCUCUUAGGUUGUAGGAUAAGUACUCCCUUGGUGUAUCAUAUGACAUAAAAAAAUACAGUAUUUGACAGUUUUAUUAAUGAAUUCUCUUGAAGGAAAUAUUCUGAAAUUAGAUUCUCAUAAGAUAUAAGUCAUGUAGCUCCUGAUUUAACUCAGUUCAGACUCUUUGAUGAGUGCUGUGUGUGUGGUUGUGGGUGUGGGGGGGGAUGGGUGUGUUAUCACUAAGGGAUACUUUAUUAUUUGACUCAUUGCUUUGUUGUAUUCAACUUUUGAAAUAUUAUUGGGAAUAUGGUAGGCUCGUUGAAAUUCUGGUAUGUAUUUAGAGAAGUGUCUGAUCUAUAUAAAUUGUAUUUUCAAAAGCAAGACUCUAUGUAACAACUCCCCUGUCCACCCCCUCCCCUCAAAAAUGUCUACUGAAAACCACAUUUGGUAAGUGGCACAGACAGACUUGAGACUUAAUCAGAUAUAAAACCUAGCUUUACUCCUUAACCUAUGACCUUGAAAAAAAAAUGUUAUGCUUCCUUAGAAAGAGGUGGGGAGGGAGAGGAUGGAAGAAGGGAAAAAAAAUAAAUCCACAAUUACAAUGCACCAAAUUUACCAGGUCACCUUUCUUAUUAAUGAGGUAUCAAGGAAUUAAUGGAUAUGUUUCUAAGAGUCUCCAGAGAAUUUCAUUCCUACAUUCUGUGAGAGUCUGAAAUCCAUAAUUAGAGUUUAACCUCCCUGAUUUAAGGUCGAAGUUGCAACUGGUCACCUGCACAUUACAGCUAUCUUAGGUUUUUAUUUUACAGGGGUUGGUUUUUUCCUUUUUGGGUUUUUUUUUGGCCUGUACAAAUUAAUACACAUGUGAUAUAAAAAAAUUGCCAAAUCAAAAAACUCAAGAGACUUCACAUAAAUCUUGGCUUUCUUUCUCUGCAAAUGGCACUACAGUUAAAGUAAUUGCUGGUGCCAAAAUUCUAGUUGUCAUACAAAUUUCCUCCAUCUUGGAGUUCCCUUUGUGGGUCAGUGGGUUAAGGUUCUGGUGUUGCCACUGCUUCGGCUCUGGUUACAGCUGAGGCCAGGUUCCGCCCCUGGCCUGGGAACUUCCGCAUUCCUGGAACUUUUGGGUGUGCCCCACGCAAAAAAAUUACUUACCUCUUCUUAACUUCUCUACAUCUAACCCAUCAAUUUCUCCAAAGCCUUGAUCCAACCUAGUGGUUCUCAACCCUCAAUAUGAAAAGAUGAUUAUCUGGUUGCUCAGGUUGCACCUAGAAAAUUAAGUCAACAGUACUGAGAGUGGAGCUGGGCUUCAGAAUUUUAGAAAGCUCUUCAGAUGAUUCUGAUGUGCAGCCAAGGCGAGAACCACUGCUCUACUAUCUUUUUCUUAGCUAUUAGAUGCGUCAAAUGCCACCCCCUGCCAAGUGCAAGUUAAAUUCACCACUUUCUAAUAUUAUCAGUCUUCUACCAUUGUCCCUAUGUCACCGCAUCAUUUCUAUUCUAGUCCCUGUUCAAUCCUAUCUCCACCCAACAGCCAGAGAAACUGUUAUGAAUAGAAACUUGUGGGUUCAAUGCCUGCGUAAACUCUUCAAUAAUAGUAGCAGUAAUGGUAACAACUGGUGAUCAUUGAUACCUUGGUUGAGUAAAGAACCCAAGUUCAGGUUUUAUAGAACCCAAGUUCAGGUUCAAGUCAUGGUGGCAUUAGGUUUCAGGAACAGAUGGAGGAAAGGGCACAAAGGAGGUGACUGCAGAUACCAAGGAAAGUUUAUUCCAUUUCCACAUGGGUCCUGUAGCCUAAUCUGACAAUACCUUCUCCUUGCCUGCUCCUCCAGGCAGUGACCCAUAGGCUAAAAGUUUUACUGACUUCUCCUACAAGUUGCUGCCCAAGCAGUGUCCUGAUGUCAUACUGCCAUCAGGAGCAAAGGGAUUUAAUAGUUUGGCAGUGACAUUAUUAUAAGAUUCAUGUUACAGCACAGCUACCAAUGUGUUUUAAAUGUCACUCCUUCAUAGUUGCAUGAUUCACCCAGCAAAAUAAGUUGAUACUGGUAAAUUUUUAGGCGGGAUAACCAAACUACGGAUGUGUGUUUGACGUUGGUAGUUAGACCUGGGAUCAUUUCUCCUUCCUCUCAGACAUAGAGUUUUUCCUUUUCAACAAUGAAUAACGUAUAUCAGGUUAUUUCUUUGAGCCGAAGUGGAGGGAUUUUCUUCUCAUGAUAACUGUAUAGUGACUAUGUAGACCAUAGAGGUAGAUACUGAAGUCUUUCCUUUUAGACUUCAGCCACCCCAUAACUGGAGAGAGUGCACGUGCCAUCGGAAGGGAGGAAGAUAAGAUAUCAUCAGAAAGUUUUCAUUAAGGACACCCUCUGACACACUGUGAUGUUAUUUUAUUCAGAGUUUAAAAAUAAAUCACUAAAUACAAACUGCUUUGAAGCUGAGUAGAAACUUUGCGUCCUUGUCGGCACCCCUUGUGCGCGGCCUAAUCAGCUUUAAUUUCACAGUGGUGACAAUUUUUUUCUUUUUAUAAUAAUUAAUUGUUCUUUUUUUCAUUUUUUAAAGUUGUAUUGAAGUAUCGUUGAUCGAUAAGGUUGUGAUCAUUUCUGCUGUACAACAAAGUGAUUCAGUGAUGCAUGUACACACAUCCAUUCUUUUUUCAGAUUCUUUUCCCAUGUGGAUUAUCACAGACUAUUGGGUAGAGUUCCCUGUGCUCUAUAACGUGUCCCUGUUGGCCAGUCAUUCCAUAUGCCUCAGUGUGCAUAUACCAAUCCCAAACCAAUGUAAAACCUUUGGUGUUUCACUACUGACAUUGUGAAAAGCUCAAGGAGCUGUGUUAAGACAAAAAUGUGCCUCAGAUGUUCAGGUAAUGGAAACUAAUAAAGAUGUUGUAAACUCAGUUACCUAGGUAUUGAAUUAAUGCUUCAGGCAUAGCUCUCUCCUUUACCUAAGUGGGUCUGUUUACCCAAAUAAUUUGUCUGCGCAGAGCCAUCCUACACUUAAGGAGACAGUUGAUGUUUUCAGCUCUCUCUGGAGUAUUUAUCCUGGGGGACAAAUGGAGAACAAAAUACAUGGAGAGGCCAGGCACACAUACACUGGGCAUCCUGGACCCAGUACAGGAUAGUGCUUAUUAAUGAGAUGCCUUUGUAUUUCCUUUGGGGACCAGGAUGGCUUGGCCUUGUGUACAAUUCUUCUCUGUGGUGAAUAGAGUUAUAAAAAGACCACAGAUUCUUUUCAUGCCAUUUUAGGAAUUUCUUUGAAAGGAUUCAAGCAGUGAAGCACAUUAUGUUUUAAGGUUCUGCAUUAGUAUAGGCAAAGCUUUUCCAAUAAGAUAAAGCCAUUUUUCUAAAUUCUUUAUGUCACUGAGUGCCCAGAAUCUGGACAGAGGGAAAUUAAAAUCUCUCUGAAAUCCACCAUAUUGCCACCACCAUAUGAAAUAGCUAUUGAGAGGGAAACUAAUAGUGUCUUAAAUGAACCUUGGGUUAAACAUACAUCCCUUUGCAUUUUCCAGUAUUGUUUUUCACUUACCUUUAACUCCUUUUCAAUCAGAAAAGUUCCCUAAGUUGAUUAGGAUUCAUUUUUUAAAAUCUAAUAUAAAAACGAGUACAUUUUUAUUAGAGGGAAGGCACGAUACAGAUGCUGAGUUGAUUGUGAGGAUUUGUAUUACGUUAUAUUAAUGAAUCAAAUGGCUCCCCAAAUAUACAUGUUUGUCAUAGGGAUUUACUGUUCUAUCAGACUUUUUCUUAUUCCCGUCAUUACUCUAGCACUUUGUGUUGACUUUUGAGAGUGAACAUUUUGGAACAAAAGAUAUAUUCUUCUAGGAUCCUCCAUGCUUGGACCACAUCAGACCUGAGUAAAUAUUUGUGAGAUGAAUGAUGAAUAAUUCAAAUGCAUUUUAAUUUUAGACACAAGCAGAUGAAAUUAUACCAAAGCUAGGAACUGAUUUAGCUGCUGAACUAGAUAUAUAAAAUAAUGAUCAAUAAAAAUGGUAAUUCCUCAGAUCAGAGACUAUGUCUGGUGUGCUCUGUUGCAAGCAGAGAGAUGGGCAUCAUUUUUAAAGGAUUUGGACAAAGUCAUAGGCCAGCAAAUCUAAUAUUUUGGUGAGCAGCUCAUCCUGAUUUCAUUAAGGCCUGGCUGUUCACUUCCCUCUUCUCCACCAGUGUUUUCAUCUUUAAAUUUUUUUUCUGCCAUAUUAGGGGGUGUUCUAGUCUAAAGACUCCUGAUUGAAGUGCCUUAUCUUUAAAAACUUUGCUAAGGGCAUGUGGGACAUUAAGAGGUAAAAUGCUACUGUGGCUCUGUAAGUAAUAGUCUUUUCAGAAACAGCUGCACUUGUGAAUAACUGAAUAAAGUCUAAUGUUGUCCAAGCAGGUUAUAUGCUACCCAAGUAAACCUCUAGGAAGUACUUGAGUUGUUUCUGUGCCCCCUUCUACUCAUCUGUUAAAUCUCUGACUUUUCUUGGCAAAGCUCAAACCCAAUUAAAGUCCAUAUGCUUUACAGUGCUUCACAUCUGCAUUUUAGAAAAAGAGCAGAUGACCCACAUGGAUGUUGGGUCUUAUCAGCCAACAGUAAUAUAAGCCUUUCAUACAUAAAAUUCUUUUUCUCAGCAGUUGUGAAAUUUCACUUUGAAAUUAAUUUUCAUUCUUAGUAUAACAGCAUACUAUGUCUCAAGGAAUAAGUGAUUUCAUAUAUUUAGGAGCCCUAAACUAUAUUCCCAUAUUGGAGAGAGAUUUAAAGCAAAUUGGUUUAUUUCAUCUGAAUAGUAAUAAUAUAAUCAAUGAUAGCUGUGAAAUUAGGAACUUCCCCAUGUUUAACUUAGCCAUCUUAAUGUUCAAAUAUAUUUUUCUUUACAUUAUUAAUUUUUUCUUCCUUUCAACAUUUCCAUCCUCUACUGUUUACUUGUCUUUACUGAUAUGUCUUACUCUGGUUAAAAAAAAAAAUACUCUACAUAGGUUAUAACAAGAAUAAAACAAUAAUUUUAAAUGGAAUAGAAAAUUAAAGCGGGACAAAUAUAAAUAAAACUGUAGAAUAAGAGAGAAAUAAGUAUCAGUCACAAUUAGGCAAAUCCUAAAGACCAGCCUUUGCUGCUGUUGAUCAUCAGACUUUAAGUUUGCUCGGGGAUAAUGCAAAAUUUUUGUGAGGCAGUUCUUUUGUCUGAAAAAAAAAAAGAUUUGCCUAACAUUAAAAUACUCCUUCUGUAAGAAAAGAAAUUAGGAGUUCCCAUCAUGGCUCAGUGGUUAACAAAUCGACUAGGAACCAUGAGGUUGCCGUUGCGGGUUCGAUCCCUGGACUCGCUCAGUGGGUUGAGGAUCCGGCGUUGCCGUGAGCUGUGGUAUAGGUCGCAGAUGCAGCUCGGAUCCCGAGUUGCUGUGGCUCUGGCAUAGGCCAGUGGCUACAGCUCCAAUUAGGCCCCUAGCCUGGGGACCUCCAUGUGCCACAGGAGCGGCCCUGGAAAAGACAAAAAAAAAAAAAAAAAAAAAAAAAAAA
rnacentral:lncRNA from 1 species